GACGAACGCUGGCGGCGUGCUUAACACAUGCAAGUCGAACGGAAAGGCCCUGCUUUUGUGGGGUGCUCGAGUGGCGGACGGGUGAGUAACACGUGAGUAACCUACCCUUGACUUUGGGAUAACUUCAGGAAACUGGGGCUAAUACCGGAUAGGAGCUCCUGCUGCAUGGUGGGGGUUGGAAAGUUUCGGCGGUUGGGGAUGGACUCGCGGCUUAUCAGCUUGUUGGUGGGGUAGUGGCUUACCAAGGCUUUGACGGGUAGCCGGCCUGAGAGGGUGACCGGCCACAUUGGGACUGAGAUACGGCCCAGACUCCUACGGGAGGCAGCAGUGGGGAAUAUUGCACAAUGGGCGGAAGCCUGAUGCAGCAACGCCGCGUGCGGGAUGACGGCCUUCGGGUUGUAAACCGCUUUCGCCUGUGACGAAGCGUGAGUGACGGUAAUGGGUAAAGAAGCACCGGCUAACUACGUG
rnacentral:rRNA from 1 species